UCCAGCUGCUGUCACCAGCACCCCCAGGUCAUUUUGUGCCGAGCAGGUUCCCAGCCCCUCUGUCCCGGCCCGUGGCACUGCCUGGGGUUGUUGUGACCCAAGGACAGGCCCCGGCACCCGGCCUGGCUGACCCUCACACCAUCGGCCUCGGCCCAUGGCUCCGGCCUGUGCAGAGCCCUCUGCAGAGCCUUCCUGCCCUCCAGCAGAUGGACACUCCCACCCAACCUGGUGUGUCUGCAAACUGCCUGAGGGUGCCCUCGGUCCUCUCAUCCAGAUCACUGAUAAAGAGAUUAAUCAGGGCUGGCCCCAGCACCGAGCCCUGGGGAGCACCACUGGUACCGGCUGCCAGCUGGAUGGAAUUCCCUUUUCCCACCACUCUCUGGGCCUGGCCAUCCAGCCAGUUUUUUCCUUGGUGAACAGUCCACAUGAUCAAAGCCAUGAGCAACCCAUUUCUCCAGGAGAACAUUGAGGACUGAGUACAACGUUUGGCCUCUUGAGAGAUGCAGUCUACAGACUAUUUCAUCUUGUCUGCAAGAAAAACUUGAGUGUGGAUGGUUGGUUACUUCUCUAGAGGAAGGGAAAUUCCAGGGAGACAAUGAGUGUCAGGCUUUCAUCCAAAGUGUUGUGGAAAAGGCAAUGCAGAGCUAUUUCUAAAAAAGAAAACUUUAAAGCUUCUGGUGUUUAGAUUCUGCCGUUGGAAAUAGAAGGAUCUGUACCAUCAGGAAUACUCCAUGCUCUCACAGUAAGACUUGGAAUGGGAGCCAGGCACCUACCAAAUGGUGUUGGUGCCUGUUCUCUUCCCUGCCAGAUGAGCUGCUACUGCCUCAGGGGCUGCCACCGUUGCCUACCUCGGGUUCAUGCAGUGUGUGAUGUAGCUGAGUGCUCCCCUUGCCUUCCUCGGAGGAAUUCCUGGAUUUCUGAGAAUGUGCCUGGCUUACCUCCAUAUGGUUCCACCUUAUUCACUUGGUGUGUUUUGUGUACACAUAAGUCUCUUUCUUACUUCUGUGGGAGUUUUGUACACUUGGUUAACUUUGACUGAGGGUUGGGGCUUUUUUUUAUUUUUUUUUUUUAAUCGUAAUUCCAGUUAGAGUUUUUUUAAAAAAAACAUAAUGGCAAGUGUGUGUUCAGAUUUUGUGUCUAAAGUGAGUUGUGUUUAUCAUUUCAACUAACUUGGUCGUCAAUAAAGAGUGAGGGUUUACUCUCUUAAGAGUGGAAAAUUAA